rnacentral:rRNA from 1 species
UACGUAGGGGGCUAGCGUUGUCCGGAAUCAUUGGGCGUAAAGGGCGUGUAGGCGGCUCGGUAAGUCCGCUGUGAAAGUCAAAGGCUCAACCUUUGAAUGUCAGUGGAUACUGCCGGGCUAGAGUCCGGAAGAGGCGAGUGGAACUCCUGGUGUAGCGGUGGAAUGCGCAGAUAUCAGGAAGAACACCAGCGGCGAAGGCAGCUCGCUGGGACGGUACUGACGCUGAGACGCGAAAGCGUGGGGAGCGAACAGG